CCUGACCGCAAGUGAUCCACCUGCCUCGGCCUCCCAAAGUGCUGGGAUUACAGGCAUGAGCCACUGCACCCAGUGUACUGUACAGAUCUUGAAUGGACAAUUCCUGGAUGUUUCUACUUUCACCUCCAUGUUUAUCUCAGCACUCUCCUUAAAUCACAUCAACCAUUAGGUUCUUACUAGAUGUAAGACACCAGGGUAUGCCUGGUGUUUUAUAAUAUUAGGUGUACAAUUAUAAAAGAUUUAUAAUCUUUAUAAAUUUAUAUUUUGGUAAUUGCACUCUAAGGAAUAGUCAUAUAAAAGGCCCCAAACUGGAGUUAAAUAAUAUUAACUAACGUUUCAGAACUAUUUGCCAAGCACUUUCAUUCAAUCCUCAUAGGACCAAGAAGAAAUACAGGGAAAUUAAAGUGCUCAAUCCAGUGGAUAAGUCACAGAACUUUGGGACUACCCAAGUCCAAUCAUGCAAACCAGGAUGUAGACUCAGAUAAACGUGACAGAAAACAGUACUCACUUGUAUUAGAAAAAAGCUGCACAAAGCCUAAAAAGGAACCUAAAGAGAAUUUGGCAAUCUUACAGUAACGUUCCCAGGAAGAGAGACUGAAUUUCAUAGAAGGAUUUCAGUCGCUAAUUCAGGCCACCACUCUGCUCUCAUUACAGGUGCUAGAAGGGUUACUAACUUCUGUCGGGGGUUCAUCAGAUUAAUUCCCAACCUGGGUAGUGGAUUCUGUCCACAUUGUCCAACUCCAUUUACUCCGAUGCCAUCUCACCAAACAGCAUUCUGGCUAUUCAGUUGGUUUCCCACAUGCCUUAAUAUGGGCAAAAGCUUCUAGACAGUGGACACUGGAAGGACUACUGCUUAACAUAAUUAUGCACGGGCAUUUUGGUUGAUCCAGCAUGGUUAGCAUGAGUCUGGGUCUGAAAGCCUGAUGAGCUAUGCACUCAGCAACCUUGUGUUUCUGCAUCCACAAAGCUAAGGGCCAGCCUCCUCUAAAGGGAUUUAUACCUUGAGAGGCCCUGCCUGAGUGGCCUACCUUCCUGCUCCCAACUCUGUUUUUUCUUUUUUCCCCCUAGAAUAUUCAGGAAGAACGAACUCAACUCUAUAAUUUGCACAGUUUCAGUGCCAGAUGAGGCUUUAUUCUGUUGUCCAUGCUGCCAGACUGGAAUGCAGUGGUAUGAUCAUAGCUCACUGCAGCCUCAACCUCCUGGGCUCAAGCAAUACUCCUGCCUCAGCCUCCUGAAUAGCUAGGACUAUGUGCAUGCACCACCACACCUGGCUAAUUUUUUUCCCCCCACUGUGGAGAUUGGGACUCGCUAAGUUGCCCAGGCUGGUCUCAAACUCCUGGACUCAAGCAAUCCUCCUGCUUCAGCCUCCCAAAGUGCUGGGAUUACAGGCAUGAGCCACCCCACCCAGCCCUGCUUUUUGAAGAAUGAAUGAUAGUCCAUUAUAUGUAUGUACCACAUUUUGGUUGUCCAUUCAUCCAUCAAUGGACACUUGGGUUGCUUCCACCUUUUGGCUAUUGUUAAUACUGCUGUGAACAUGGGUACACAACUACUUCAAGAUCCUGCUUUCAGUCCUUUUGGGUACAUACCCAGAAGUGGAAUUGCUAAAUCAUAUAGUAAUUCUAUUUUUAAUUUUUAGAGGAGUUGCCAUACCGUUUUCCAUAGCAGCUCCAUUUUAUGUUCCUACCAACAGUGUAAAAGAGUUUCAAUUUCUCCACAUCUUCAUCAACACUUCUUAUUUUCUGUUUUGAUAGUAGCCAUCCUAAUGGCUGAGGUGGUCAAAAUUUGCUUUUUACAAAUUAUGAAAAUGGGAUAAUAGCAAAUGCCUAGCACAGUGUCUAGAAGAUGGUAAAUGUUAAGUAUCAAAAAACUUUUGAUAAGAGGUAUUAAGUUAAAUAAGAGGUAUUAAGUUAAAAUCUUUGCUGUCAUAAAUGGGAAAUAUACGGCUACAUUGAAAUUUGCCAAAUCCCAAUAGUGUCUAUUAUAGAUUUCCCUCUAUGCAGGCACAUCACUAAGUUUUUACUAAGGCAUUAGCAAAUUACUGAUUAUGUAUUCACCUCCUAAAAGGAAUCUGCAGCCGAGCACAGUGGUGCACAUCUGUAAUCCCAGCUAUCCUGAAGGCUGAGGCAGGAGGCUUGCUUGAGCCCAGAAGUUUGAGGCAGUAGUGUACUAUGAUUAUGUCUGUGAAUAGCCCCCACACUCCAGCCUGGGCAACAUAGUGAGACCUAUCUAUAAAAUAAAAGAAUCUGCAAUAUAAAGGAGGCCCAGAAAAUGAAAAGCUUGAACCCAAAGAAAUAGGUCACUAUUAGUGACAUUCCAGGUGAGAUUGGAGAGGGCCCUAAAGUGAUGCCACUUAUCAGCUCAUGCCUCAGCUCCUAUUCCUCUGCUACAGGUGGCCCAUCCCCCAAGGGCACUGUGGCACAGAUGAGGUCCAAAGCAGGUUUGGUCUUUGCUAGAUCUCUAAAGGAAAUAUAAAGCCAAUUUGCUAGACAUUUACUCUUCCAAAUACAUAUCAGAGUGACUUUAGAAGUCAAAGAACCCAGAACUUUAAUAACCUUAAACAAACAAGCUCAUUCCAAUAAUUUAGCUUCCAGUCACAUAUGCAGACCCUAGGCAAAGACUUUUUUGUGGGAAAUGGGACAGGUGCUGUACUUUCAUUUCUUCCUUGCUGUGGAAAUAGACUCUUAAAAAAUGUAGAGAUGGGGUCUUGCUACAUUGUCCAGGCUGAUCUUAAACUCCUGGCCUCAAGCAAUCUUCCCACCUUGGCCUCCCUAAGUGCUGGGCUGACAGGCAUGAGCCACUAUGCCUUGCUAAGUGUUUAAUAGAAGAGUGUGAAUGGCAGAGGCAGAAGGUUUGGUGGAUCAUACAGCCUUACAGUCUCUUCAGAAACAUCACUGAUAUUUGCUGUUGAGUCAACCUAGCAACCAAUUCUUGUCCCAAAGAUAUGACACUGUUCAAAAGGCACCUCAGAGAUGCCAGUUUCAUCUCUUUUCAAUGCCCAAAACUAGAGCUUGAAAAGAUGGAUAUCUAUCAACAGACAUGAUUUGUAAUGUGUCUUUACUGUAUAUUUCAUAAAAUAUAAACACAUAAAACUUACAUAAGUAUAACAGAUAGUUGUAAACACCCUAUAAUUACUACCCAAGUCACAAAACAGAUCAAUAUUAGCAAUUCAGAAGUUUCAGAUAUAUAUAUAUAUAUAUAUAUAUAUCUCCUUACUGAUCACAAUUGCCUAGUUUUUUAAUUAUUGAGAUAUAAUUCACAUACCAUAAAAUUCAUCCUUUUAGAAUUUAUAAUUCAGUGCUUUCUAAUAUAUUCAAGAAGUUGUGCAGCCAUCGACACUACCUAAUUCUACAACAGUCCCAUCACCCUUCGGAAAGAAACCCAUGCCCUUUAGCAGUCAUUCCCAGCUCCUGGGAACCACUAAUCUCCUUUCUGUCUUUAUGGCUUUGCCUGUUCUAGACAGUUCAUAUAAAUGGAAUCAUAUAACAUGUGGCCUUCUGUGUCUGCCUUCUUUGACUUAGCAUGUUUUCUAGGUUCAUCCAUGUUGUAGCAUAAAUUAGUACUUCAUUCCAUUUAUGACUGAAUAAUACUCCAUUAUAUGGAUAUGUCAAAUUUUCCUCCCCUAUUCAAUUAAUGUACAUUUGAGUUUCCACAUGUUGACCAUUAUGAAUAAUGCUAUGAAUAUUUGUAUAUAAGUUUGUGUGUGGCCAGGUGCAAUGGCUCAUGCCUAUAAUCCUAGCACUUUGGGAGGCUGAGGCAGGUGGAUCACUUGAGGCUAGGAGUUCGAGACCAACCUGGCCAACAUGGCAAAAUUAAAAAUACAAAAGUUAGCUGGGCAUGGUGGUGCUUGCCUGUGGUCCCAGGUACUCAGAAGGCUGAGGCCGAGAUUGCACCACUGCACUCCAGCCUGGGUGAAAGAGCGAGACUGUCUAAAAAAAAAAGUUUGUGUGAAUAUAUGUUUUGAAUUCUGUUAGGUAUAUACAUAGGAAUGGAUUUGCUUGAGGACACAGUAACUAUACAUUUAACUUUGAGGAUCUGCCAAACUGUUUUCCAAAGUGGCUGCAGUUUUACAUUCACACCAGUAGUGUAUGACAGGUCGAAUCUUUUUACACCCUCACCAAUACUUGGUAUUGUCUAUCUUUUUUAUCAUAGCCAUCCUAGUGGGUGUGAAAUGGUAUUUCAUUGUAGUUUUGUGGUUUUUUUUUUCCCCUGAGACAGAGUCUCACUCUGUUGCCCAGGCUGGAGUGCAGUGGUACAAUCUCUGCUCACUGCAACCUCCACCUCCUAGGUUCAAGUGAUUCUCCCACCUCAGCCUCCUGAGUAGCUGGGACUACAGGAGUGUGCCACCACAUCCGGCUAAUUUUUGUAUUUUUUAGUAGAGACGGAGUUUCACCAUGUUGAUCAGGCUGGUUUGAACUCCUGACCUGAAAUGAUCUGCCCGCCUCAGCCUCCCAAAGUACUGGGAUUACAGGUGUAAGCCGCCACACCCGGCCAUUGUAGUUUUAAAUUUGCAUUUCCGUAAUGACUAAUGUGUUUACUGCCCAUUUGUAUAACUUCUUUGGAGAAGUGGCUAAUUAAAUCUAUUGCUAAUUUUUAAA